rnacentral:sRNA from 1 species
CGGGAGGCUGAGAUCCUUCGUGGGUUCGAGCCGAGCGCAGCGAGACCACAUCGGAGCCUGCGACGAUAGCCCGAAGGGCGAGGAGUGAAACGACGAGUAAUCCCUCCCUCACCGC